AUUUGUUUUUCAGGGGAGGGUUCGGUAGGGGUUUCCCCUCCCGACAACCAUCAAAUUUGGCAUGUUUGACCUGGUUUCAACAAGCAUAAUAAUGUUGGAGAUGGGGAUGAUGACAGACCAGCCAGCCGAACUCAAAUUGGAUUAGACAUCAUGCGCCACCUGGUUGCUGAAGCUCGAGAGGACCUAUAUGGACAAAAAAUCCUGUUCAAGAUAGUUCUGUCUGGAAUUCCA